rnacentral:lncRNA from 1 species
GCUAUCUAAAAAAAUAGAGGAAAUUUGAAAUAAAUGUUUAGCAAAUCUAUGAAAUAGGAAAGGGGUACUUUUUAAGAGCCAAAGGGAUGAAAUAAAUUACAAAGGAAAAUAUUAACAGUUUUGAUUAUUUAAAAAACUGAAAUCCAAGGUACAGCUGCCACACAAUUCAGGAACAUUUCGUGGUAGGAUGAAAUUGGCCGCAGUUAGAAAAACACAAAUUAAGGAAGAAACUGCAGAGUCAAAACUCAGACUGCAGACUCCCCCUGCUUUAUCCAGUUGGUGUGCUGAAUAUUCAAGCCUACAUAUUUAAACCUUGUGAUCUGCUGAGCAGCUACACCACAGGUGCUCAACAGACCAAAAGGGUCUGAGGGAAACAAGGGAUUCCACCACAUUCUAACUGGGCAAAUGGCAGACUUGGGUAGAUCCAGUGGCCUUUGCAAAGUGUUUUGGGGUAGGGAUCCAGACAGAGUCAGGCAAAUAUCUUCCAGAUGGCUCAAACUAUAAAAAGUAAAAUUUAAAAGCCCCUUUCUUCAACAUGGAAAGAAAGGAAUUAAACUAACCCUCAGAGAGAGGCAGUAAAAUGUAGAUGUGCCAAUCACAUUGAAAUUCUUAAUGUAACCAGGCAGCUUAACUUCAAAAUGCAUUUUAAAACUUGUAUUUUUCUUUUUCUUGGAUUUCAAGAUAUAACCUUGCAGCAAACUGCAGAAGCAUUUUCCUUAGCCUUAAAAUAGAUUCCAUGUUCUACCCUUUCUCACCAUAUAUACUCCCUUCACAUUUAUCUAACUGUAUGCUAGCAUCUAAUUAUGUGCCAUCUUAGAAGUUCCAAGGGCCAAUCUUCAGACGGAAAGUCCAAAUCUGGACCCAGGUGCAAAAUUCCAGAGAUUACUUCAAAGUGGCUAGUCAACAACUUGGCCAUUGUCGAAAUGACACCAGCCCAUGCUCCCCGGUGGAUUGAAACCCAAGAUAGCCACUGGAACAAGAUACACAGACAUUGUACUCCGCACAAUUUUUGCGUGCCAUCCAUUAUCAAGUUUUCCCUUUUUAAGCCCUUGGCUUGCCCCUCAAAAUUGAAGUGGUUGCUUUGGAUGGGAAUCUGGCCAUGUCUCCAUUACUACUUUUGUUUAAUAAAAUGACUUUCUACCAGACCUUACUCUUGUUAAUUGGAUUUUGCGAGUGGGAAGCAACCAGACUUGCAUUUGGUUACAUUGGUCCCUGCAGUCCCUGAAGCCUAGCUAUUGAAUAUCUCUCUUUCCUUCAUAGGUAAUGAAAUCUUUAUUGGAAUCUACUAGAUACCACAAUCACCUUUUAUAAAAUUUUCAUUUUUAUAUAAACAACAUUAGAUUAGGUCACAAUAACUUGCUGAAAAGAUUUCUAACCAAUACAGGGAUUCAAUAUAUACUGCUUUAUUUCUGAAGCUGAUAAAUUGA